ensembl:lncRNA
AGGUGUUUUUUGUAAAAUACUGGAACUGAUGCUCCAGACAGCAGCGCUCCUUUCAGUGGGCAGUGUGCACAGUGAAGGAAGGGUUUUUAGCUGUAAGGGCCUUUCUCUAUAGGAAGACUGACUCCCGAAUAUACCAAGGGAAAUGCGAGAGACACACCGAUUGUCCAGGCCCAGAAACCUUUGUUCCCCCAGACCUAACUCGUUAAACUUUAACUGAUAAAACAAUCCGGCCAAGAAACAGCCUCCUCGGCCAAAAAAAAAAUAUUUCCAUACUUAGCCUCCGUAUAUAUACAAGCCCCCGCCCCCAACGACGACCCUUGACACAGUAGUAGCCUGGCCUUGUGCUAAGACCGACUGCUGCCCCUCCUUGUCUCAUGAAGGUGACUCGGCUCUGUUGAGACCCUCUCCACUAGUCAGUCCCCCCGCCCCCACUGCCCCUUCGUUUUCCUUACAUUUUUGUUCUUAAAUCAGGAACCCCCCCCCCCCUUGUUUGUCCCUUUCUCUUCCUCUCCAUUUCUCUCCCAGGUUCGGGGAGCACAGACGCCCUCGGAGCUCACUUUCUUGCCCGGGCUUUCCGGGCCUCCUCGAGAGGACGCCCUGUGCUUCGUGAGCGGUGCAAGCCCCCAAUCCUGGGCUUUAUCGGUGAUCUGUGUACCCCUCAGACUGCGUGAGGCCUUUCACUCAUUUCCUAGUUGUCCUCCGUUUUUGAUCCCCGGACCAGAGGUCCUGGCCACUCGACGGCUCUGCAGGCACCACGAUCCUCUGACCCCAGCCCAGGUGGCGUGGGUUGCCAGAACUCCGGGCCCACCUGCUCUCAAGCGCUGGGAUCAGUAAACCCAUCCAAGCCAAGAAGGCAGGAAGACGGAGCGUAGAAAACCUUCUGUGCUGGGGUUCGGGAGACGUGGAUUCCGGCUCCAGCCCUCGCGAGCCCUGGGGUUUGAGCCAAGACCUUAACCUCUCUGGGCCUCAGAGGCCCUCUGUUCAAACGGGGGUCACGGUGCCCACCCCGCUCGUGAGGACUUAGUGAGAACGCACUCUUUGUAAUCUCCAGUCUCAACACCUUCGAACUCCUUGAGGACCGAAAACUGCCUUCUUCUCCAUAAUCCUCCUCCGUAAAACCAAAGAAACAGUUACGGUGGAGGGCUUCACGGCGCUUACACAGUUUUCUUGCGGGACCCCGACCGCCGCACUCUUCUGGGUUGAGUAGUGACUUCAUGAUUCUGUUCGUUUGGCCCCUGAUGUUUGCUGAUCACUUACUGUGUACCCGGCCAUGUGCAAGGGUUUGGUUGACAAUGAUGAGAAAAGCCAAGACAGCCUUCAUCAUCCGGAGAUCCAGGUAUUAGUGGGACGUACCCAUUACGUAGAUACACACACGCACACGUACAAAUUGAGUUCCAAGAAGAAAAACAAAAAAAAAAAGGAAAAAUGGAUGAAUGUGUUGGGAGGAGGGGCCCAAGUUGGUUUGUGGAGAAUGGGCUAGAAGGUGUCUCCGAGGUGGGGCAUGGCCGACGAAGCCUGAAGGCUGAGUAAGGAGCUGGCCAAAGAGUGGGGAAGGGGUGGGGGGGUG